GACGAACGCUGGCGGCGUGCUUAACACAUGCAAGUCGAACGGAAAGGCACUAAUAUUGUGGGGUGAACAAGUGGCGAACGGGUGAGUAACACGUGAGUAACCUGCCCUUGACUUUGGGAUAACUUCAGGAAACUGGGGCUAAUACCGGAUAGGAGCUCCUGCUGCAUGGUGGGGGUUGGAAAGUUUCGGCGGUUGGGGAUGGACUCGCGGCUUAUCAGCUUGUUGGUGGGGUAGUGGCUUACCAAGGCUUUGACGGGUAGCCGGCCUGAGAGGGUGACCGGCCACAUUGGGACUGAGAUACGGCCCAGACUCCUACGGGAGGCAGCAGUGGGGAAUAUUGCACAAUGGGCGGAAGCCUGAUGCAGCAACGCCGCGUGCGGGAUGACGGCCUUCGGGUUGUAAACCGCUUUCGCCUGUGACGAAGCGUGAGUGACGGUAAUGGGUAAAGAAGCACCGGCUAACUACGUG
rnacentral:rRNA from 1 species